UUCGGUGUGCUGGCGAGUGGCGAACGGGUGAGUAACACGUGGAUGACCUACCCUGGGGCGUGGGACAACAGCUGGAAACGGCUGCUAAUACCAUAUACGUCUUACGGGAGAAAGGCUUCGGCCGCCCUGGGAGGGGUCCGCGUUGGAUUAGCUAGUUGGUGAGGUAAUGGCUCACCAAGGCGACGAUCCGUAGCUGGUCUGAGAGGAUGAUCAGCCACACUGGGACUGAGACACGGCCCAGACUCCUACGGGAGGCAGCAGUGGGGAAUAUUGCGCAAUGGGGGAAACCCUGACGCAGCGAUACCGCGUGGGUGAAGCAGGCCUUCGGGUUGUAAAGCCCUUUCAGUGGGGAAGAUAGUGACGGUACCCACAGAAGAAGCUCCGGCUAACUCCGUGCCAGCAGCCGCGGUAAUACGGGGGGGGCGAGCGUUGUUCGGAAUUACUGGGCGUAAAGGGCGCGUAGGCGGUUUGACCAG
rnacentral:rRNA from 1 species